rnacentral:sRNA from 1 species
UUCCUCAUUGCUGAGGGUCGUGACCACCC